rnacentral:lncRNA from 1 species
AUGUAUCUGGGUUUCCUUAGUGAUAUUUUAAACACAUUUUUUUUCUGUCCUCCCAUACAGAGCGCAUACUUUUGGUGGAAUUCCUGUUGUGUGGGAGACCAGCUUAAUUCCAUUCACACACUCACACUCCCAGAUGUGGCCCCACGGGUUUAUUCCUAUCUCGCUGUUUCAACAGUCAGACGUUUGUUCUUCAGGCUGCUUGCUCCAGUAUCCUCGUCAGACAACCGCAGGGAGCCUUUGUGCAUUUAUUUAUUUAUUUGCUUGGUAUGCUUCAGUGUUUUGGGGGCUUUUCUUCCCACUGAGACUUGGAAUAUGAACAAAACAUGCAGUCACUUCCCACCAGGAUGUGUCCUUCUGGACAUCAGCAUACGUGCAAGAUGACAAUUUCAGGGUGAAUGCUUCCUACCCGUUGGCUUUGAUGCUGGCUGGUAUAUGAGUAGCACUGGCUGCUGUAACAAACGUACACCAACGUUCCAGUGGCUUCCUACAACAAGAGUUUUAUUCUUCCUCAUGAAAAAUUUCAGACUACAUUCCUGGUUGGCAGGAAGCUCCCCUCCACAUGAUGACUCAGGGACCUCAUUUUGUUCCUCAUGGCUCUGCCCUGUCUUGUGCAUGUUGUUGGUGAAGUUGAUAAAGGAACUUAGAAAGUCAUUUUCUGUGGAGGCAUAAUCCAAGUGAUGCCUAUCAUACCAGCUCCUAUUCCCUUGGUAGGAAUUUACUCACACAACCACCUCUAUUUUAGAGGGAAGCAGGGAGACUUAGUGUAACUGUAUGCCCAGAAAAGAAAGGUCAACUGAGGAUUUCAAGUAUCUAUCAGUCUUAAGUGAAUAUAGAGAAUUCUAGGUGGAGAAAACUAAAGAAAACAGAGACAGAGGAACAAAGUAAGUGAAGGUUGCAGAGUACGGAAUGAAGGAGCUGGAAGUGGCAACGACAUUCUACACUAGAGGAGAGGAUGGGGUAGUUUCUCAAUGCAUGGAAAAUCUAUUCUCUCGGAAGACCUGGUGGUGCUGGAGGCUUGAAUUAUCUUCUGUCAGUAGCUACAGAAAAUCAAAGAAGGAAAUAUCAAACUGUGUUUUCAGGGCCACUGACUCUGUGACUCCCGCUGUCUGGCCUUCAUGAAGCCAGGCGGUCAAAUGGGACACACAGAAACUCGAAUCAGUGAGUCCUUCCUCCUGGCCUGAGGCCCCAGCUUGAUCCCACAACAGGGAAAAUUCUGGAGGUUUCUGUGUUGACCUGGGUGGUAGUUAUGCAGGGGUGUUCCCUUUGUGACAAUUCAUCAAACCAUUCACAUAAUGUGUUGCCUUUUCUGUAGGUAUUUUUUUCUUCAAUGAAUAGUUUAAUAAACACAAAAAAGAAAAUAUGGUCAUCUUAUCUUUGGACAGUCU